CUGCCUGGACUCAGCAGAGCAAUUGUCCAUAUACUUCUAGGAGAUUCACCUGAGACAGCCACAGUGCAGAUAGAAGAUUGUCCUGACCAUGACAUAAGAGAAAUCAUCAAAUUGCUUGAUGGAGAUGCUGAACUCAGUGAUGAUGAACGCCAGGCUGUCCUUGACCUGUGUCUUUCUUGGGAUCUACCUGGCCCAACCAAUACAAACAGAAGGUGGCUCUUUGAACGCCUUUUGUCACAUGCGGUCAUUGGUAGAAGAUUACGUCAGUUGAAACAAAUUCGGAAAGGACUAAAGGAAACCAAGGUGUGGUCACUGUUGAUUGAAAGGAAAGAUGUGCAGAUUUUUCCAAAGGAGAGCGAAUAUUUACU